GGAUCCGGUUCCGCCCCGCUGUGUUGUCUGCAACCACCCGAAUUUAUAAGAAGCACUGAGCCUCAGCAGCGGUUUGGCAGGAGACCUCCUGAGAAGAACAUGUAACCCACAAAAUAUAGCCAGUGACCAAGGCUGCUCACAACUUUGCUUCUUGUGAGAAAUAAAGAAGAUGAUGGUCUUAAAAUGGUUUUACUAGAAGAAACUCCCCCGGUUCAUGGAAUAUACCAGUUGUGUUUCUGUGAGGCCUUACUCUGCCAUUCUGAGGAGUAAAAUGAUAAAUCCAGAGGGUUUACCACUGAUCUUUGGGGAGACAAAGCAGGUGAGAAGCUGGAAAACUGUUUGAAAAAUGAGAAUGAAUAAACUCUGCUGCUGUGUGUGUGUCAAAGCCAAAAACAAUAAAUAAAAUAUGUAUAUUGAAGGAAAAUGCUUAAUUAAAGUGUAAUGUUACUGAUUAAUUCAUGAUUUGACACGUUGUUUAGUGUGACAUGUCUGGCUAACCCUGUCUGCUCGGUCAGCUCUCCUCGUGUUUCAGCCCUUAGCCACAUGCUGCUCUGUCCAUCAUCACGUUUUUCAUUCAUCAACAUGUGACAAAUUAGUGUUGCAACUUCAAUAUGUGAUCUAUUAAAAAGAGUCUGACCUUUAGUCUGUCUUGUGUUGAUCACAUGUAUUAAACUUGAUUUCUUCUAUGAGAAAGAAGCAACAAUAAACCAGAAAUAUGUUGCUGGAAACAGUUUGGGACGUUUAAGUUUCACUUUACAACAUCUGAUUUGAAGGAUGUGAUUAUUGAGCUUUACACAAAUGAUUAACAAUCCAGUUUAAUUUAGUUUAUUAAUGUAGCACCAAUUCACAGCAAAUGUCAUCUGAAGGCUCUUUACUUAAAAAUAAAAUCAGUAAUACUAGCAACAAUAUUGAUUAAUCUGUGUCUUACAUUGUCCUUAGUUUAUUUUUCUGAAAUUACAUAUUGUUAAACUAAAUCAAAUGUAAGAAUAUUACUUAUGUUGGUGUUUCUGUACAUGUUUUUCAUGCUGCUUUAAAGUACUGUUUGCGUUGUUAAAGCAAAAAUGUCCACAUGUAGAGGAAGUGGUAAUGAAUUUAAGUGUAUUUUUAAAAAUUCUCCAACUAAAAAAGGUGAAAUUAUUCAGCUCGCAUUGCUUCUAAAAAAUUAAGAGACCACUUUAAAUGAUCAGUUUCUCUGAUUUUACUUUUUAUAUUCGAGUAAAUGAUUAUUGUUCUUUCAUUCUAUGAACUAUUAACAACAUAGCUAUGACAUUCCAAGCAAUAAUUUAGUUUUUAUUUGCAGAAAAUGAGAAACGAUUAAAAUAAAAAAAAGAUGCAGUGCUUUCAAGCCUCAAACAAUUCACAGAAAACAAGUUCAUGUCAAUUUAGAAACAUCAAUCCUAAUGUUUUAACUCAGGAAGAGUUCAGGAAUCAAUAUUUGGUGGAACAACCAGGAGGUUUUCAAUGGUUUUUUUCAGAGCUGUUUUGCUGUUUAUAGCUCAAAACUAGUUGCUUCCCUUGAACUUUAAAAUAUUUCAAUAAAUCAUAACCACAAAAGGAUUCCAACAAACUACCAACUAAAUGUUUAAUGGAAGGAAAAUUACACAUGGUUGUGCAAUUGUGAUCAGUCCCCCUGUGGUGCUUCUUUGUAGAAUGACCUUUUACCUUUGACCUCAUUUGCAGCUGCAGGUGUUUCACAGUUUGUCUCUGUUGGCUUUGAGACUGAAAUCUUUUUCUAUUCUCAUCUGAUGGAAACUGUUUGUUAUUUUUGACACUUACCACAGAUAUUCAGAGCUACCUCUAGACUAGACUGAUUGUAAAUAAUAGAGUUUGGUCUAAAUUACAAUAUUUUAGCCUUUGCUGCAUGUUUAGGGUCACUGGCCUGCUUGAAGUCUCACAUCUUUUAUCGUCCUCUAGCAGAAUAUUUAGCUCCAUUCAUCUUCCAGUCAAUUCAGAUAAGUUUGCUUUCCCUUCGUAUUUUUGUCUUUCUUUCAAUAGUAGCUUUCCUCUUGGGAUUUCAAGUAUUUCCCUUAGAUUUUCAGAGAGAUUUAGAUCUGGACUUUGACUGGGCCGUUCCACAAAAUGUGGGAAACGUUCUAGAUAUUCAAACUGUUCACCUGACAUGUUUACAGUCAUUUUUAGAUGCCAUUAUUUUACAUAUUAAUGUUCUUUGUUUCUGACUUUUUGUUUUGGUUUCUUUCUGCUUGUUCCUGCCAACAAAAUGCAUUUUCCCACAGUAAGAUGCUGCCACCACCGAGUUUCAGUAGGACUGGGGUGUUUAGGAAAAUGCCCACAUGAGAUUUGUAAUUAGGACAAAAUAUGUACAUUUCUGUCCUAUUUGUACAGAGGACAAUAGUAGUAGUUUUGUUGAUAAAUUGUCCCACCUAAGCUGUGUAUCUCUGCAGCUCCUCCAGAGUCACCUUCAGUUGUUUCUGUGAUUAACUCUCUCUUCGCUCAGCCAGCUUAAGAGGCGGCCAUGUUGUUUUAGGUCUGCAGUUGUCCAACACUCUUCAGUUGUUAAAUAAUUAAAGAGAAAUCCGUGAGAUGCUCUUCGGAAAUUGUUUUAUAAUCUAAUUCUGUUCAAACACAAUUAUUGACUCGGUGGUUCUUGCAUGAAUGGUUUCCUAGGUUACCCCCUCUUUCUGCCGCCUUAUAACUAAUUAAAAUGUAAGCAGUUAUCUGAAUGGUUUUCCAGUAGAAAGCAGUAACCUAAUCUCCCAAGAAGUAGUCAAUUUAUUUCUUCAUGAUGGCACAAUUAUUAUUUUCUAAUUCUUCUGUGCUCCAUCCUUUACUGAUGCACUGUAAAACAUUUGAAGGUGGUUUAACUUGAAAAUGAAAGUCCUUAUUCUGCCUUGAAAAUACAAUUUAAUUCAACAAGAAAAUUGUUUUGGUUUUAAUUCAGAAAUUAAUGUUCAUGAAGUUGAUUUAACGUUCUCUAAUUAUUGUUUUUUUUUUAAUUCAUUAAUCUUGAAUUGAGUUUUAACUCAAUACUGCACUUUUAAACCAAAUAAUUUUUUCACAAUACGAAAGAAAAAACUAGUCAAAAAGCACAUGAUUCUCUAUUAUCUUUACUCACAAUAUCAAGUUAAAAUAACUUAUUUUAUUUAGAAUAAUUUGAAUUCUUGUUUUAAAUUGCAUGAAUAAAUUUGAGCAUGAUCUGAUAAUGAAUUUUAUUAAGCAUCUCAAUGAAUUCAGUCCAAAAACAUUUAGUGUAAACAGGAAAUUAUCCUCAAAGUUUAAAAUAAACAUUUACCUUAGUAACACACAAGAGUCAUCAAUCUAACACACUUCCAUCUCAGGAUACAAAAACAUGCUGCUAAGCAUUCUGGGAAAUAUUUCCCACUGCUCUCUUUUUCUUCUAUCAUUUUUUUAAAAGUUUUAACCUAAAAACUCAUUUAUUCAACUCUUAAUAAAAAGUUAACACAACUUACAGCUGUAAACUUUUCAUUCACAAACUCACAUAUUUCGGUUAAAAAUCUAAACUCACUAAAUUUAUUUGGCAAAACUGAAUGCAGCUCAAAUGUUUUACAGUGCAGUACAAAAUGUUUAAUAAUUAUAAAGCAGUCUAUUACGCUGGAUUUAAUUUAGGAGUAUCAGAAGAAAAGGGGUCUGAUUGGGAAUGAAUGUUGUUUGUUGAGGUUUCAACCACUUUGAAAACCAUUUAAAAUUUUCCUUUCAUUCCACAAAAUAUGCUGCUGAGCCAUUUUAACUUUCUAUAUACUUGAAUAACUUAAAAAAGAAAAAAAAAACAUUUAGGAUUAUUUUUACUAUACUAUACUUUUAACUUUUACUUAAGUACUUUUUUAAAAUAAAAUACUACUAUCCUUCAGUGCAAGCCAAAGACAGACUUAUUAUUUGUGAACAAGGUUUGUUUUCAAAUGUUAUUUUCUGCCUGCUGCACAAUUUGGCACUAGACGUACUUCAUCCUGUUCAAACAUAUAUUUUAUUUGCAUUACUGACUAUAAAUAUUAGUUUCAUAGUUUUUUUUUGUGGAAAAUUUCUGCCUGAAUCUGUUAUUUUUUUUAUUUAAUUUGAAGAUGUAAAAUACCAGAAUUUAGAUACAAAUACAUUUUUGUCUCACUGAUUACAAUAUUAUUAAAUAUUAAAUCAGAUUUUUUUUUUACUUGUUGUUACUACUUCAGUAGUUUUUAAACCACAUAUUUUGUUACUCUUACUUGGACAGCUACUUUUUACUUUUAUUUGGGCAAAAACAUGUUGAAGUGGAGCUACUUUUACAAUCUUUGGAAACCACCAAACUCUGUAUGCCAGCAAUUAACUGCAGUGUUUCAUUACUGUGUAUUUCUGCUGAAAUCAUGAUAGAUAAAUAAAUGAAGAUGUAAGUAAAUUAAUUGUUUGUAAGAAUAAGACAAAAACAGUACUAAGAAGUAUUUUUACUCAUAUAAGAGAAAGUAUUUCUGUGUCACUUGCACAUGAUUUAAGGAUAAACUCCUCCUCACACAGCAUGGCUCAUGUGAUAUGUCUCCUUAUCUCCUGUGUCGUUGCCUCUGCGUCCUUUUUUGGACUCCCUGGCUGGAGGUUUCCAUGAUGACUGAUCACGUUACAUUUGGGGGCAGGACAGGGAAACCACACAGGGCUUCAAAGCUAACCCCGCAGAUGCAUCAUGAGACCCUGACCUUCCCCUGACACACCCUCGGAGGUGAAAAUGCUUUGAAUAUACGAACUGAGGUCUGUCUUUGAGAUUUGAUGAUUGUAAGGAUUUUAGAAACCAGAUUUAAUAAUUUUUUUCUGUUUAUUUUGUUUGCUUGCCUUUUAUUCCACUUGGUUUUCAUUUUAAAGCACAAAUAAAGUGAAACUACACUGCGUUGUGUUUUGUCUUAUUUUACUUUUUGGCAUAUUCUGAUAAAACAUUGAAGCAGAAAUCAUAAAACAACAAAACAAAAUUAAAUUAUGAAGCAUUUUAGCCCUGAUUGGGACAACAUUUAAUGUUACAAGAUGCAGAAAAAUGUGAUGUAAGCCUUAAAACCAACAGCUGGUGCUCUGGGUGUUGGAUUCAGCCAGACAUACACAGUUUGUUCUGCUGCUGACUCAACU